UACGGAGGGUGCGAGCGUUGUCCGGAAUCACUGGGCGUAAAGGGCGCGUAGGCGGCAUGCCAAGCGUGUGGUGAAAGCCCGGGGCUCAACCCCGGGUCGGCCGUGCGGACUGGCGUGCUCGAGCACUGUAGGGGCGGGUGGAAUUCCGGGUGUAGCGGUGGAAUGCGUAGAGAUCGGGAGGAACAUCAGUUGCGAAGGCGGCUCUCUGGACCAGCACUGACACUGAGGCACGAAAGCGUGGGGAGCAAACAGG
rnacentral:rRNA from 1 species